AGCGAACGCUGGCGGCAGGCCUAACACAUGCAAGUCGAACGAACCUUUCGGGGUUAGUGGCGGACGGGUGUGUAACACGUGGGAACGUGCCUUUAGGUUCGGAAUAACUCAGGGAAACUUGUGCUAAUACCGAAUGUGCCCUUCGGGGGAAAGAUUAAUCGCCUUUAGAGCGGCCCGCGUCUGAUUAGCUAGUUGGUUGAGGUAAUGGCUCACCAAGGCGACGAUCAGUAGCUGGUCUGAGAGGAUGAUCAGCCACAUUGGGACUGGGACACGGCCCAAACUCCUACGGGAGGCAGCAGUGGGGAAUCUUGCGCAAUGGGCGAAAGCCUGACGCAGCCAUGCCGCGUGAAUGAUGAAGGUCUUAGGAUUGUAAAAUUCUUUCACCGGGGACGAUAAUGACGGUACCCGGAGAAGAAGCCCCGGCUAACUUCGUG
rnacentral:rRNA from 1 species